rnacentral:rRNA from 1 species
AUGCUCUUCAAGUCAUUGGCUACACUACAUGAAGGAAGUAUUGCUUCAGGAGACUUGAACUUUGUAUCAAUUCCGCAAGUGGGUCUCACAAGCGAUGCCAUUUCUCCUAUGGAUUCCUCUACCAAUUAUUUGAACCAUAUCUCCUCUACCAAUGUUGAUGAUGGUAUGUCCUCAUCUAAUCUACAAGGGCAAGGGGCAUCAAGAAGAGAUGAACCUGAAGCUACAACAUCUACCAACUCUGAACAAAAGGGAGCACUGCCUGUGAAAAAGAGGAAGCAAAGUCAGAUCGCUGUUGUACUUGAGGAUUACAUGGAUUUUUGGAAGAAACAAUCUGCAAAACUGGUUGACGAGUUGAAGGAAUCAAAGCAAGAUGACAUUUUCUCGAUUGGAAACUGUGUGGCUGCGCUAGAACCAAUGGAAGAUUUAUCAAUUGCAGAAAAAGCAAAGGCACUGCGGCUUUCCAAAUGCCCAAUGAAUCGAGAAAUAUUCAUCAAUACCAAGGACUCAAAUCUUCGGCUUUAUUGGUUGAAGGAGGAGAUUUCUGAGAUGUAG